rnacentral:rRNA from 1 species
UACGUAGGGUGCAAGCGUUAAUCGGAAUUGCUGGGCGUAAAGCGCGCGUAGGUGGUUCGUUAAGUUGGAUGUGAAAUCCCCGGGCUCAACCCGGGAACUGCAUUCAAAACUGGCGAGCUAGAGUACGGUAGAGGGUGGCGGAAUUUCCUGUGUAGCGGUGAAAUGCGUAGAUAUAGGAAGGAACACCAGUGGCGAAGGCGGCCACCUGGACUGAUACUGACACUGAGGUGCGAAAGCGUGGGGAGCAAACAGG